GAUGGGAUUGGGGUAGAGGCCUAGGGUUGGGGUUAGGGUAGAGGCCUAGGGUUGGGGUUAGGGUAGAGGCCUAGGAAAGAGGUUAGGGUUGAGGCCUAGGGAUGGGAUUAGUGCCUAUAAAAGAGACCCUGUAGAGCUCCGUGCCCCCUUCUGUGACAUGGGGACACGGUGAGAAGAUGGCCAUGUGUGAACCGGAGCAGGUCCCCAUCAGACACCAAAUCUGCCAGGGCCUUGGACUCGAACGUCCAGUCUCCAGAGCCAUGAGAAGUAAGCUGCUGUUGUGUAUAAGGUCUGCAGUCUGUAGGAUUGUGUUACGGCAGUGUGGACUAAGACACCGCCUGGCGAGAAGAGGCAUAUUUCAUCCUGCACCAGAAGGCUUCAAUUGCCUCAAAAUUGGAGGAAAGGAAAGAGAAAGGUUGCCUUGGGUCUGAAUUAUUACAGAAAAUGGCUCUCCUAAAUCAACAGGAGGCAGACAUGGUUAUGUUGGACCGUGGCCUAUGUUGGUAGAUGACAAAUUCUGACCCAAAUUCCACAUUCAUAAUGGUUGUUUUGAUCCAGAAAGAACUGUCUCAGCAUAACCUCAGUGAAACCACAAAAGACUCAUGUAACCUGAGAUUUCUCAUGCCCUGGGGCCUGCUGGCCCCCCAUUCUCUGAAACCUGGAGAAAAUCCUGAAGUUCUAACACUUUGGUCCUGGGCCACCUGGUCACACAGAGUGUCUCGUAGUUGGGCUGCUGGAAGAUUGUGAAGCUUACAAAGUUCUUACGUGAAUCUUACUCCCUUUAACCUCACCUUAUUACAUAAGCACAUAGUUUGCUUAAUUGUUUGUUAACACAGUCUAGGGUUAUCUGUGAGUGGAGCUGUCCUGCCAGAUUGUAAGGUCAAUGUGAUAUCACCAUCUUGGAACUUUGGCCAGAAUCCUAGUCAGUGACCUUGUGCUGAUUUAUUUCUUCACAACAUUGAACUUCCCGGGUUCUGAAGGUUUAAGUAACUCAUUAGGGACCCACAAAAGCCUUCCGGACCAUGAGGCAUUCCUUCAAACUAUUAAAUGGAGCAAGUGAAAUUGAUCAGAUAAAAUUCCUGUGGUUGAAAUUUUAUUGAUGCCCACUUCGGAAUUAUCCAGAGGAUUAGCUAAGCAGAAGUGUGUUUUAACUGUGCCAUAUAUACUUUAAAAAGGAGCCUCACCUCACUCGGCUGUGGCUUGAGCUCCCUCUCAAGCAGCGCAGUACGGGGGGCUCUGCUUGGCUGAGGAUGUCUGCGGAGGGACUGCGGGCAGGGCACUGUGGGGUUGGGCAUCCCGUUGUGGGGUGACAGGAAGCCCGGCUUUCUCUACGCCAUUCUAUGAUCCAUUACCUUUAUUCGCCUUGUGUAAAAAAGUGAUGUUCUUCCUCCUGGGCCUAUCAGGUUCCAGGAGUGUCCUUGGUCUAGAUACAGGGUGAAGGAGGUGAUCGCCGCUGCUUUUCCAUACGGGGCACAUGCUCUGUGCCUUAGUAUUACGAGAUAUAUAAAUCUUGUCUCUCAAAUUUAGACCAACGUAGACCAAAU